rnacentral:lncRNA from 1 species
GGUAUGAUUGUGUGAAUUGCAAGAUGUGCAAUAAAACUAAGUUUGGGGUGGAAAUCUUGAAAGAGAAGGCAAGUGCAUAAUAAGAGAUCAUACAAAAAGAAAAAUAGUAUGUAUUUUCUUUAAAAGAAAAAAAAAAAAAAAAAAAGAAAAAAAAAAGAAAAGAAAAACAAAAGAGAAAAAUGCACUUGCCGAGACCUAAGACUCUAACAGAUAUAAAAUGCUCGGAAAAUUUGAGUAGAAAAAGAGUCAAAAGAGUGAAAUUAACCCCCAGAGUAUACGUGAUGCACGAGAAAAAGAGAAAGAAAAAUCACACAACAUGACUACCGAGUUCAAAACCCUUUGUUAUCCAAUUUUUUUGUUUAUCCCACCGUACCCA